rnacentral:misc_RNA from 1 species
GCCCUCAAGCACGGCUUGUGUGUUGGGCUCCGUCCCCCGAUCCCGGGGGACGGGCCCGAAAGGCAGCGGCGGCACCGCGUCCGGUCCUCGAGCGUAUGGGGCUUUGUCACCCGCUCUGUAGGCCCGGCCGGCGCUUGCCGAUCAACCAAAUUUUUAUCCAGGUUGACCUCGGAUCAGGUAGGGAUACCCGCUGAACUUAA